UACGUAGGUGGCAAGCGUUGUCCGGAUUUAUUGGGUUUAAAGGGUGCGUAGGCGGCUUUGUAAGUCAGUGGUGAAAUAUGGCAGCUUAACUGUCAAGGUGCCAUUGAUACUGCGGAGCUUGAGUACAGAUGAGGUAGGCGGAAUUGACGGUGUAGCGGUGAAAUGCGUAGAGAUCCGGAAGAACACCGGUGGCGAAGGCGGCCUGCUGGGCUAUGGCUGACACUGAGGCGCGACAGCGUGGGGAGCAAACAGG
rnacentral:rRNA from 1 species